GGAACACCCAUCACCUAGGGAUGGGACUUCCCUUCCUCUAGGAAUUCAAGCACACCCAUCAAGACAAAAUGCCAGAUAGUGUAACUCCCAUGUGGCCAAUGAUGGUGCUGGUAGAUCUGACCUCCACACUACACUAUCAUAGGUGUGGGCACUGAGAAC